GGAGAGGUACCGAAGCGGUCAUAACGGCGCAGACUCGAAAUCUGAUGGGGGCGCAAGUCCCACGUGGGUUCGAAUCCCACCCUCUCCGCCA
rnacentral:tRNA from 1 species